rnacentral:rRNA from 1 species
UACGUAGGGUGCAAGCGUUGCCCGGAUUUAUUGGGCGUAAAGGGCGCGUAGGCGGCUCUGCACGUUCGUUGUGAAAUCGCCCGGCUCAACUGGGCGGGGUCAGCGGAUACGGCAGAGCUUGAGCAAGCUAGGGGGCAAUGGAAUUCCCGGUGUAGUGGUGGAAUGCGUAGAUAUCGGGAGGAACACCAGUGGCGAAGGCGGUUCUCUGGGCAUUACCUGACGCUGAGGAGCGAAAGUGUGGGGAGCGAACAGG